UACAGAGGUCCCAAGCGUUGUUCGGAUUCACUGGGCGUAAAGGGUGCGUAGGCGGUCGGGGUAAGUCUGGCGUGAAAUCUCCAAGCCUAACUUGGAACUGCGUUGGAUACUAUCCGGCUCGAGGAAUGGAGGGGGAGACUGGAAUACUUGGUGUAGCAGUGAAAUGCGUAGAUAUCAAGUGGAACACCAGUGGCGAAGGCGAGUCUCUGGACAUUUCCUGACGCUGAGGCACGAAAGCCAGGGGAGCAAACGGG
rnacentral:rRNA from 1 species